ACGAACGCUGGCGGCGUGCUUAACACAUGCAAGUCGAACGGAAAGGCCCUGCGUUUGUGGGGUGCUCGAGUGGCGAACGGGUGAGUAACACGUGAGUAACCUGCCCUUGACUUUGGGAUAACUUCAGGAAACUGGGGCUAAUACCGGAUAGGAUCUCCUGCUGCAUGGUGGGGGUUGGAAAGUUUCGGCGGUUGGGGAUGGACUCGCGGCUUAUCAGCUUGUUGGUGGGGUAGUGGCUUACCAAGGCUUUGACGGGUAGCCGGCCUGAGAGGGUGACCGGCCACAUUGGGACUGAGAUACGGCCCGGACUCCUACGGGAGGCAGCAGUGGGGAAUAUUGCACAAUGGGCGGAAGCCUGAUGCAGCAACGCCGCGUGCGGGAUGACGGCCUUCGGGUUGUAAACCGCUUUCGCCUGUGACGAAGCGUGAGUGACGGUAAUGGGUAAAGAAGCACCGGCUAACUACGUG
rnacentral:rRNA from 1 species